CCAACUCCAGCCAAUAUACCAUUAGCUCUAAAUUUGUUAGUGGAGGUUGCCGGAGAUUAUGGUGUCAUGGAUCUAUCUAUCUCAAUUGGAUUGGCUUCAGAAGACGAGAAAGAAUGUCUUUGAUGUGUUAAGAUAAGAUGAAAAAUCAAGGGAAUAAUGAUGGUGAGGACAAUGUACUAUUGUGCCUGAAAGAGAAGCACAUCUCUGAAAUGGUCUCCCAAGGAAAGGAGAGAUCAAGGUUUCAUAUCGACAAGUCCUUUCCAAGUGUCAAGGCAUGGCCCCAUUAGAGAGGAUCAACGUAACAUUGUUGAGAGGGUGGGGUUGUUGCCAUUGGUACAACUACCAAAGCAUCAGCCCAGAACUGUUGAUCAUCCAUUGAUUGUCACUAUGACAGCAAGGUGGCGUCCCGAAACAAACACCACCCAUCUACCGACAUGCAUCAGAGAGAUGAUGCCGACAUUGUAUGACGCAUGGCGGAUAUACCACCUUAACGUCACUGGUGAGCCCGUGUUGACUACAGAUUGCCAACCAUAUGUGACGUACAUAAACGAGUGGCUCGAGGAUUGCCCAGAGGAGGUUCAACUGCAUAUACUUAAGUUCAGAUGGUUGAAAAGUAGAUUCAUAGUGCUACCUAAGGAUGCAACGCAGGUGGUAAUAGAGCAACACAUGAGGGCUUAUUUGCUCUACCUAGUCGGCCGCACCAUCUUUUCCACUACGAAAGACAAUGAAGUGCCGCAAGAUACCUUACUUUGUUUGAAGAUUUCAAACGCGCGAGAUUAUAUGCUUAGGGUCCGCGGCUCUAGCAUACCUGUUUCAGUCCCUUCCGAAGUUUGUAACAGUGAAACUUGGUGAUACAACAUGUUCGCAUUUAAGUGGCUCGGUCACCCCUAUUUCAGGUUAAAAACUUCCUAUUAUAAUAUUUGUGUUUCUUUUUUUUUAUGAAAUAUUUGAGUUCCUCUUUUUUACCACCACAUAAAUCACUUUUUAUAUUUAAUGAUUUUUGUACUGUAUGUGUGCAGGCAUGAGUAUUAGAACAUAUGAAAACUCUCAAGCCCAAUAAAAAAAAAAAAGAC